ACGGGAGGCAGCAGUGGGGAAUAUUGCGCAAUGGGGGCAACCCUGACGCAGCAACGCCGCGUGAUUGAAGAAGGUCUUCGGAUUGUAAAAAUCUUUUAUCAAGGACGAAGAAGUGACGGUACUUGAUGAAUAAGCUCCGGCUAACUACGUGCCAGCAGCCGCGGUAAUACGUAGGGAGCAAGCGUUAUCCGGAUUUACUGGGUGUAAAGGGCGAGUAGGCGGGUCGGCAAGUUGGGAGUGAAAUGUCGGGGCUUAACCCCGGAACUGCUUCCAAAACUGUUGAUCUUGAGUGAUGGAGAGGCAGGCGGAAUUCCUAGUGUAGCGGUGAAAUGCGUAGAUAUUAGGAGGAACACCAGUGGCGAAGGCGGCCUGCUGGACAUUAACUGACGCUGAGGAGCGAAAGCGUGGGGAGCAAACAGGAUUAGAUACCCUGGUA
rnacentral:rRNA from 1 species